CUGGUGGACGAAGGCUGGAAGGUCAAAGUGUGCGACUUUGGUUUGAGCCGUAUAAUAGAGGUGAAAUCUGUGUCGUGCUGUUGAUUGACGAUGCUAACAAUAACAAUAAUAAUAAUAAU
rnacentral:ribozyme from 1 species